CCCUUAGACGUUCUGGGCCGCACGCGCGCUACACUGACGGAGCCAGCGAGCUUUUCCUUAACCGAGAGGUUUGGGUAAUCUUGUGAAACUCCGUCGUGCUGGGGAUAGAGCAUUGUAAUUAUUGCUCUUCAACGAGGAAUUCCUAGUAAGCGCAAGUCAUCAGCUUGCGUUGAUUACGUCCCUGCCCUUUGUACACACCGCCCGUCGCUAGUACCGAUUGAAUGGCUUAGUGAGGCUUCAGGAUUUGCUUAGAUCGAGGGGCAACUCUCUUUCAGAGCGGAGAAGCUAGUCAAACUUGGUCAUUUAGAGGAACUAAAAGUCGUAACA
rnacentral:rRNA from 1 species